UUUACCUACGGGGGGCAGCAGUGAGGAAUAUUGGUCAAUGGGCGGAAGCCUGAACCAGCCAAGUCGCGUGAGGGAAUAAGGCCCUACGGGUCGUAAACCUCUUUUGCCGGGGAGCAAGGGCCGGGACGCGUCCCGGCCCGGAGAGUACACGGAGAAAAAGCAUCGGCUAACGCCGUGCCAGCAGCGGCGGUAAUACGGAGGAAGCGGGCGUUAUCCGGAUUUAUUGGGAUUAAAGG
rnacentral:rRNA from 1 species